CAUGAAGUAGCUCAGCGGUAGAGCACCAUCACGACACGGGGGAGGUCGCGGGUUCGAUCCCCGCCUUCAUGG
rnacentral:tRNA from 1 species